CCUCCUCUUUCUUCAUUUCCUUCAAUUUCCUACACAAUGACGCACACAUUCUGACUGACAUGCGAACCUGCUUUGCAAGCCUACAGGCUUAGUGUCAUCUUCGAUAUCCAACAAAGCCUUGAUGUAACAUGUCAAUGUGUUACAAUGCAUAGAAGAUAGAAACAUCAUCAGCCAGUCCUCAGCCUUUUCCCUCGAUGUGCAGACUGCCAAUAUAAAGGAACCCGGAGAAAGAGAUGACCUGCAUGCGUGGAUCAUGGGAUAACAUUCUAACAGUGGCAACUGCUGUUGCCAGUGCCAUGGGCAUGGAACCCACGUUGGAAAUGAGACAGAGAAAGAGGAAGCGUUUUUUUGGUGAUCCAAAACAGAGAGAGGAGGGGGAAAGCCAAGACACCCUAUUCAGAAAUAGGGUGUUCAAUGUUGUAUUCGACAGCGUCAUCUCUCAGCUAAGUGCGCUGUAAUUCAGAAACAUACCAAAAGACGAAAUCAGCGCAACCUGCAAAAAGUUAUCCUGGAAAUAUGUAAAUGAUAUCACAACUUCACUUGAAGAUCAGAUUAAGUCUGUUAAGUCAGUCAAUACUAAUCAGACCAAAAUAUAUUGUACACAAAUUUUGUAGUACAUACUAUUGUAAACACAGCAAAGAGUGCAAGUGUGUUUAGUGUUUUUGCUAAGUGUCUGAGCUGAGGUUUUGCUCCUUGAUUGUUAUGUUUUACCAACUGUGUGUUACAUUUAAUUUCAGUGUGUAAGCAAACAAUCUGUAAUAAAAAAAAAUGUCAUGGUU